rnacentral:SRP_RNA from 1 species
UCAGCUAAGCCCGGAUGGAAUUUCAUGGGAACCCGGUCAGGGUAGGAAUACAGCAGCCGUGCCUUGAGAUUCCAGGCUGGGCUUCCGGCUUAGUU